rnacentral:rRNA from 1 species
AGGAGCAUUGUGGUUUAAUUCGAUGAUACGCGAGGAACCUUACCUGGGCUUUGAACGUAUGGUGCAUUUAGGGUGAAAGCCCUAUUUCUAGCAAUAGACUUCAUACGAGGUGCUGCAUGGCUGUCGUCAGCUCGUGCCGUGAGGUGUUAGGUUAAGUCCUGCAACGAGCGCAACCCCUGUUUCCAGUUGCCAUCAAGUAAAGUUGGGGACUCUGGAGAGACUGCCUGCGCAAGCAGAGAGGAAGGUGGGGAUGACGUCAAGUCAGCACGGCCCUUACGUCCAGGGCUACACACGUGCUACAAUGGCCGGUACAGAGGGCAGCGACCUGGUGACAGGUAGCGAAUCUCCAAAGCCGGUCUCAGUUCGGAUCGGAGUCUGCAACUCGACUCCGUGAAGCUGGAUUCGCUAGUAAUCGGAUAUCAGCAAUGAUCCGGUGAAUACGUUCCCGGGCCUU